AGAGGCUGGGAACACCAAGGGCAUGGCAGCAGCAUCUGGUGGGGUUCUGUGCUACAUUACCCCAUGGUGGAAGGGCAGAGGGCAGAGGGCAGAAGAGGAAAGGCAGAAGAGAAAGACAGCAUGGGAGACAGCAAGAAAAUGGAGGCCAAAACUUAUCCUUUUAUCAGGAAUCCACUCCCACACAUGUUUGUAAACAAUGCCAUCAGGAAUAAAAGUGUUUGAAGCUGAAGCUGGGUCUUCCAUCCAAAUGUGGAAAGCGUGCCAGAGGACUGUCUUUCCCAUUCCCGCCCCACCUGCACAGCCAUAGACAAAGCUCAGCUCCGGGAUAAGGAAUAAUGUCUACAGCUGCAGCUGCCAGAUCAAGCUGGAGUCCCUCCCUGAUCUGAUGCCAUAAAGUAGGAGCUCUCAGUCACCAUAGGAGGAAAUCACUACCUCAGGCUGCUCACUAGAACCUCUGGGAAGAAACAGAGCUCCCCACCAUAAGUCACGGCUUUGGGGUCAGAGUCUCUGGAUCCAAGCCUGGUUCUGCUACUUGAGCCUCUCUUGAGUCUCAAUUUCCUCCCUGAAUAUAGGGAUGAUAAUCCCUGUCCCAUGAGUUGCACUGGGGAAUAAAUGUGAUCAUCUAUA
rnacentral:lncRNA from 1 species